rnacentral:rRNA from 1 species
CCUACGGGAGGCUGCAGUGGGGAAUAUUGGACAAUGGGGGGAACCCUGAUCCAGCCAUGCCGCGUGUGUGAAGAAGGCCCUCGGGUUGUAAAGCACUUUCAGUGAGGAAGAACGCCUGGUGGUUAAUACCCAUCAGGAAAGACAUCACUCACAGAAGAAGCACCGGCUAACUCCGUGCCAGCAGCCGCGGUAAUACGGAGGGUGCGAGCGUUAAUCGGAAUUACUGGGCGUAAAGCGCGCGUAGGUGGCUUGAUAAGCCGGUUGUGAAAGCCCCGGGCUCAACCUGGGAACGGCAUCCGGAACUGUCAAGCUAGAGUGCAGGAGAGGAAGGUAGAAUUCCCGGUGUAGCGGUGAAAUGCGUAGAGAUCGGGAGGAAUACCAGUGGCGAAGGCGGCCUUCUGGACUGAAACUGACACUGAGGUGCGAAAGCGUGGGUAGCAAACAGGAUUAGAUACCCUAGUAGUC